AGUGAACGCUGGCGGUAGGCCUAACACAUGCAAGUCGAACGGCAGCACAGUAAGAGCUUGCUCUUACGGGUGGCGAGUGGCGGACGGGUGAGGAAUACAUCGGAAUCUACUUUUUCGUGGGGGAUAACGUAGGGAAACUUACGCUAAUACCGCAUACGACCUACGGGUGAAAGCAGGGGAUCUUCGGACCUUGCGCUUUUGUGUGACGCGAUGUCGGAUUAGCUAGUUGGCGGGGUAAAGGCCCACCAAGGCGACGAUCCGUAGCUGGUCUGAGAGGAUGAUCAGCCACACUGGAACUGAGACACGGUCCAGACUCCUACGGGAGGCAGCAGUGGGGAAUAUUGGACAAUGGGCGCAAGCCUGAUCCAGCCAUACCGCGUGGGUGAAGAAGGCCUUCGGGUUGUAAAGCCCUUUUGUUGGGAAAGAAAAGCAGCAGGUUAAUACCCCGCUGUUCUGACGGUACCCAAAGAAUAAGCACCGGCUAACUUCGUG
rnacentral:rRNA from 1 species